rnacentral:lncRNA from 1 species
UUUACUAACAUCACUUUGACCUUUCUCCCUUUCUCUCCUUCUUUCUCUUAUUUUAUUAAUUAUUUCUUUAUUUAUCUUUUAAUACUCUAAUUCAACCACAUCUGUUUACCUCUUAUAUUUAAACUUCACAUUAAUUUAUUUUUUAUAUUCUCUAAGGACCACAUCAAAAAAUAAAAAAAGUAAUUAUGAUUUAUAUUCUUUCUUUAAUGACUCAUAUAUCCCACCUCUCUCUCCCUCUCUCAUGCCACUUUGAACCCUCUUCCAUCUCUCUCAUUUUUUUCUUUUUCUUUAUUCAUUACUUCUUUAUUUAUCUUUUAAUGCUCCACUUCAACCCC